CCUACGGGUGGCAGCAGUGAGGAAUAUUGGUCAAUGGACGAGAGUCUGAACCAGCCAAGUAGCGUGAAGGAUGACUGCCCUAUGGGUUGUAAACUUCUUUUAUAUGGGAAUAAAAUGUUCCACGUGUGGGAUUUUGUCUGUACCAUAUGAAUAAGGAUCGGCUAACUCCGUGCCAGCAGCCGCGGUAAUACGGAGGAUCCGAGCGUUAUCCGGAUUUAUUGGGUUUAAAGGGAGCGUAGGUGGAUUGUUAAGUAAGUUGUGAAAGUUUGCGGCUCAACCGUAAAAUUGCAGUUGAAACUGGCAGUCUUGAGUACAGUAGAGGUGGGCGGAAUUCGUGGUGUAGCGGUGAAAUGCUUAGAUAUCAAGAAGAACUCCGAUUGCGAAGGCAGUUCACUGGACUGCAACUGACACUGAGGCUCGAAAGUGUGGGUAUCAAACAGGAUUAGAUACCCGUGUAGUC
rnacentral:rRNA from 1 species